rnacentral:rRNA from 1 species
CAUACGACCGUACCGCAAACCGACACUGGUGCGCGAGAUGAGUAUUCUAAGGCGCUUGAGAGAACUCAGGAGAAGGAACUCGGCAAAUUGACACCGUAACUUCGGAAGAAGGUGUGCCCUAUUAGUGUGUAGUGAACAACGAAGCAUGAAUGGGUUGCAAAGAUCGGUGGCUGCGACUGUUUAUUAAAAACACAGCACUCUGCAAACACGAAAGUGGACGUAUAGGGUGUGACGCCUGCCCGGUGCUGGAAGAUUAAAUGAUGGGGUGCAAGCUCUUGAUUGAAGUCCCAGUAAACGGCGGCCGUAACUAUAACGGUCCUAAGGUAGCGAAAUUCCUUGUCGGGUAAGUUCCGACCUGCACGAAUGGCGUAACGAUGGCCACACUGUCUCUUCCUGAGACUCAGCGAAGUUGAAAUGUUUGUGAUGAUGCAAUCUCCCCGCGGAAAGACGGAAAGACCCCAUGAACCUUUACUGUAGCUUUGUAUUGGACUUUGAACAGAUCUGUGUAGGAUAGGUGGGAGGCUUUGAAGCAGGGUCGCUAGAUCUUGUGGAGCCAACGUUGAAAUACCACCCUGGUGUGUUUGAGGUUCUAACCUAGGUCCAUUAUCUGGAUCGGGGACAGUGCAUGGUAGGCAGUUUGACUGGGGCGGUCUCCUCCCAAAGCGUAACGGAGGAGUUCGAAGGUACGCUAGUUACGGUCGGACAUCGUGACGAUAGUGCAAUGGCAUAAGCGUGCUUAACUGCGAGACUGACAAGUCGAGCAGAUGCGAAAGCAGGACAUAGUGAUCCGGUGGUUCUGUAUGGAAGGGCCAUCGCUCAACGGAUAAAAGGUACUCUGGGGAUAACAGGCUGAUACCGCCCAAGAGUUCAUAUCGACGGCGGUGUUUGGCACCUCGAUGUCGGCUCAUCUCAUCCUGGGGCUGUAGCCGGUCCCAAGGGUAUGGCUGUUCGCCAUUUAAAGAGGUACGUGAGCUGGGUUUAAAACGUCGUGAGACAGUUUGGUCCCUAUCUUCCGUGGGCGCUGCAGAUUUGAGGAAGCCUGCUCCUAGUACGAGAGGACCGGAGUGGACACACCUCUGGUGUAUCGGUUGUCACGCCAGUGGCAUUGCCGAGUAGCUAAGUGUGGAAGAGAUAACCGCUGAAAGCAUCUAAGCGGGAAACUCGUUUCAAGAUGAGAUCUGCCGGGGCCUUGAGCCCCCUAAAGAGUCGUUCAAGACCAGGACGUUGAUAGGUCAGGUGUGGAAGCGAAAAG